GUGUCAGCAGCCGCGGUAAUACGGAGGGUGCAAGCGUUAUCCGGAUUUACUGGGUUUAAAGGGUGCGUAGGUGGGUAAGUAAGUCAGUGGUGAAAUCUUCGAGCUUAACUCGGAAACUGCCAUUGAUACUAUUUAUCUUGAAUACUUUGGAGGUAAGCGGAAUAUGUCAUGUAGCGGUGAAAUGCUUAGAUAUGACAUAGAACACCAAUUGCGAAGGCAGCUUACUACACAGUUAUUGACACUGAGGCACGAAAGCGUGGGGAUCAAACAGGAUUAGAAACCCCCGUAGUCC
rnacentral:rRNA from 1 species